rnacentral:rRNA from 1 species
AUUGAACGCUGGCGGUAGGCCUAACACAUGCAAGUCGAACGCGAAAGUCCUUCGGGAUGAGUAGAGUGGCGGACGGGUGAGUAACGCGUAGGAAUCUAUCCUGUAGUGGGGGAUAACGUUUCGAAAGGAACGCUAAUACCGCAUACGCCCCAAGGGGGAAAGCGGGGGAUCUUCGGACCUCGUGCUAUAGGAGGAGCCUGCGUCGGAUUAGCUAGUUGGUGGGGUAAAGGCUCACCAAGGCGACGAUCCGUAGCUGGUCUGAGAGGAUGAUCAGCCACACCGGAACUGAGACACGGUCCGGACUCCUACGGGAGGCAGCAGUGGGGAAUAUUGCGCAAUGGGCGAAAGCCUGACGCAGCCAUACCGCGUGUGUGAAGAAGGCCUUCGGGUUGUAAAGCACUUUCAGUGGGGAGGAAAAGCUGGUGGCUAAUAUCCAUCGGCCGUGACGCUACCCACAGAAGAAGCACCGGCUAAUUCCGUGCCAGCAGCCGCAGUAAAAC